CUUUCAUAUGACUACUAUAUAUCAUGUGUUACACACGAUCCCGAGGAGAUGAUCGAUGAUGGUGGUGGCGCAAGUGAGGAGAGGGGGAAAGGAGGGGAAUGGAUGAGGGAUGAUUCAAAUAAAGUAGUUCAUGGGGAAGGGAGAUGAGUUAUCCAACUAUCUGGACUGUUGAUUUUGAUAGUGUGUUAAGUUUGAGUACAAUAUGUUUGGUGAAUUUAGUGGGAUAAUGAGUAUGGGGUGAUUUGGUUGUGUGACUUUUGCAAUGUUUAAACUGAUGGAUUAUAUAGUGGUUCCCCCCUCCCCUCAUCACCUGUGCUUCCGCGAAACAAUGCUCUGAAUUCAACAGUGCCUAAAUUAAGUGACACAACCCUAAACUUUCAUAUGACUACUAUAUAGCAUGUGUUACACAUGAUCUCGAGGAGAUGAUCGAUGAUGGCGGUGGCGCAAGUGAGGAGACGGGGAAGGGAAGGGAAGGGAUGAAGGAUGAUUCAAAUAAAGUAGUUCGUGGGUAAGGGAGAUGAGUUAUCCAACUAUCUAGACCGUUGAUUUUGAUAGUGUGUUAAGUUUGAGUACAAUAUGUUUGGUGAAUUUAGUGGGAUAAUGAGUAUGGGGUGAUUUGGUUGUGUGACUUUUGGAAAGUUUAAACUUAUGGAUUAUAUAGUGGUAAGAGCAUAACUCUUUUCUAUUAUAUAAAUAUAUGUAACUUUCUAUCUUUAA